AUUUAGAGGAAGGAGAAGUCGUAACAAGGUUUCCGUAGGUGAACCUGCGGAAGGAUCAUUGUCGAUGCCCCCCCGAAAAGGACGACCCGCGAACCGGUUUUACCAGCCCCCGGGCGGGCCCUCGCCGCCCGCCCGCCGGCGGCGUCGCCUGCGCCGCGCAGGCCCGUCCCCCGGACGAGCAAACCAACCCCGGCGCCGAACGCGCCAAGGAAACGCAACAGUGCGGCGCGCCCCCGGCGGCACCGGAUGCGGUGCCCGCCCGGCCGGCGCCCGCGUCACCGGUCGUUCGACCUCCGAAACGACUCUCGGCAACGGAUAUCUCGGCUCUCGCAUCGAUGAAGAACGUAGCGAAAUGCGAUACUUGGUGUGAAUUGCAGAAUCCCGUGAACCAUCGAGUCUUUGAACGCAAGUUGCGCCCGAAGCCACUAGGCCGAGGGCACGUCUGCCUGGGCGUCACGCAGCGUCGCCAGCGCCCCAGCCCGGGCGCGGCGGAUGAUGGCCUCCCGCGAGCCUCGCCUCCCGGCCGGCCGAAACCGGGCUUUCCCCCCGCGACGAGCGCCGCGAUCCACGGUGGAUGAGUGAGCACGACGAGCUCGAGACCGGACGCGCGCGCCGUCGCCGGGGCCGGGCCAGCGGAACGAGGGUCUCCCUCGCCCCCGAAGGCGACCCCAGGUCAGGCGGGGCUACCCGCUGAGUUUAAGCAUA
rnacentral:misc_RNA from 1 species